rfam:Zea mays cultivar B73 chromosome 2, whole genome shotgun sequence.
GGCCUGAUGCCACGUCUCUGUUAGCCAUACCAGAGAUGUUAUGAUUAUGCCGGAACAAAGUUGUUCCAAUAUUUCACAUGUUGAUAGGAUCCUGGGGACCGCUUCUAUGUGUCCACAAUGUCGGUUAGUGUGAUUACAUUU